CCUUAUCUGAACAUGUGUCACUCUGUGGCUGCAAUACCUUGCUUUGUAAUUUUGAGAUAAAGGGAAGAUUCUGAGAAGGUAGGAAGAGGGAAAUCAGGGAAGCAUUUCUGAUUGCCGACAAGGGGGAGGGUGGUGUAUGCAAUGCAUCUAUUGGCCUGUCGGACAAAGAGGGAAUUCCUCAACGCUUUUAAGCGCGUCCCAUAUAAAAACAGAAGAAGAAACAUCUACCACUGCACUGGAACACUUCUGUCAGAGGUUGACAGCAGGAAAAGGAAGAAAAGAAUCCUUACGAAGAAAAGUUGCUCUUCAUGGAGUUCCCAAUUCUCAUAUGAAAGACGAGAAAAAUUUGCACUUUACUGCAAUGCUGCAACAGGUGCCUCUUCAAACGUACAAUUAGGAUAAUGAGGGCAAGGGACCAAGACACUAAAAAAGAGGGCAAAGCUAAGACAGCUGGACAAGACAAGGACAAGCUGGACAUCAUCCUCCAGAAAAAAAAAAAAAAAAAAAAAAAGAGAGAGGAAAAUGCAAGGCAGUACAUGAAAAUAUAUUUAUAAAAGCAGCACUGGUACAUCUUCAACUGCAGUGCAUGGACCGGUAUAUUGCAGUUGCGAGCGCAAGAAGUAAGGUAUCAAUAUCUUUCACAUAUUGAUCCAGUAAAACCUCAUGCAUUCAAGCAAAAUAUUUCAAAAUGUUACCUAUGGUUUCGCGCACAUGUCAAAGGUGUGCCCUAUCCCAAAUGUGUUACAUAGCAGACAACAUUACAGUUAGGUAAUGCAUGCAUAAGGUUCUUCGUUUUCGGGUUUUAUGAUUUUUCAAAUUCGGGGGUUAAAAAUCGGGUGCUAUUUACACACGAGAAUUCGGGGAGAAAUCGGGCGCUACGAUCUCUGUUUGAUAUGUCAUUGGGGAAUUUUCGGGUGAAAUGAAAGGCAUACGAAACAAGCCAUUGCUGUGACACUGGGACGAGAAACAAGAAUCUUCAUAUUUCCACUCGGAACUGGGGCAGUGAAUGAUCGCGGUAUUCAAACACUUGCCCGAGCUCCACAAAAGCUCGUCUUUCACUCCCGCAGGAGGGGAUUAUAAAAGGAGGACAAAUAGGAUGUCACAAAUAGCUCUCUUUGCUGAUAUUAUGAUUCACUUUUCCGACAGUUUAGCUAUAACGACAAGUCGAAGGACCGUAAGGAUUUCGGGUAGAUAGAUGUGACCGUUCCGGCAGUAGCAUAGUAAAAUAAAAUAAAACCUGGUGAUUGAUAUUUGCAAUACUGGCAUGAACAUGUAAAAGAGAGAAGCAACAUUGCAAGAGCACGAAACAACAAGCUCAUGCACAUAGGAGAACCUCGUAAGACUGCAGUACAAGGAGCGUGAAAAAAAAAAAAAAGGAGUACUGCACGGUGCAGUCUUUGCCUAAACUGUACGACAACUUGUCUAAGAAACGUCACGAGAAAGAUCAUCGACCCAAUGUGCAUUGUGGCUAGCAGCGGCAACAGCAUUCAUAAUGCAUGCACUCACAGAGUCAGAAGCAAGCAUGAAGGUGAAUCAAAGCAUGCAAACCUUUGCAAGUGCCAAUCAGGGAAACCAUGCUCUUAUGGGAACAACAAAUUACGAUUUCAUGUGGCUAAGUUCACUAUAAAAGAUACUUACCAUUAUCAAUGGCAUCACCUUGUCCUCCUUGCAGCUCCAGCGACAAUAUUUUCUCUGUAGUGGUUUCUAUCUGUAACAACAAAGCGUGGCAAAGAACAUGGUCAUCACAACCAUCAAAUAAGUGAUUAGUAAUCAUCAUAGAAUUGAAAAGACAAACUCAGGCGGC